UUGUUUUGUGGUAGGACAAAGAUAUGCUGGAACCAUAGCAACAAAAUGAGAGAAUCGGACAAAGUAAUAACUAGCUGGCUAAGAUUCCUUUAUAAAGCUGUGACCUUCAGAUACGUCGAAGGACGAGGGCUUUCCUAGACCCAUCGCUGCUUCACUAUACUCUGACUGCAAAAGUAUCUUUGCAAAGACUUGCGGCAAGACUGCUAGUAUUGUGCACGCUGUUUACAGCUAGAGAAUACAUGCUUUUAAGACUAGCAGAUGAAAAUAUUGAAAAGAUGUAUUACGUGGAUGGCACGUCAUUGUAAACAUUUCACACGAUCUCUUGUGCUUUAAUCAUUUCACAUGCCAGGUGCCAUGGAGGCAAAAGACUGUUUGAUUAGAGCUCUGGACGUUCCAGACUUUCGAGUUCGAUUCCAGCGCCAUCUGGAAGGAGUCUGUACAUCCUCCUCGUGGAAUACGUGGGUUUCCUCAGGUGCUGCCACGGUCCAAAGACGCACUUGUGAUGAGACAGCCUACAGAGCAGAGGUUGACACCCUGACACAGUGGUGCCAGGAUAACAACCUCUCCCUCAAUGUCCAAAAGACGAAAGAGCUUAUUGUGGAUCACAGGAGGAGUGGAGACAGGCUUGGCCCAAUCAACAUCAAUAGGUCUGCAGUUGAGAGGGAAACAAAACAUAGCUGCUGGAAAUCUGAAAUGAAAACAAAUUAUUUGAAAAUUUUGCAUGCCAGGGCGCAUUUCUGGAAAGUGCAAAAGCUUUCGUUAAGAAUUCUGGCUAUAAAAAAAACUAAUAAAAAAAAGAGAAUUCUGGCAAGGUGUCUUGGUUCUGAAUUGUUAAUUCAGUUUCAUUUUGUACAGAGGCUGCCCAACAUGCUGUGUGUUUCCAGCCUUCCCUGUUUUAAGUGUGGAUUAAUGAUCUGGCUAAGUAGCUGCUAGCCCAGUUACUGAAGUGCUACACUACUGAAGCGAUGCCACCUUUGGUCAUCAUUGAAAGUUCAGAGUCAAACCUGCAAUAUAUUUAAGAACCUCUAAUUCAUUAAAAGGAAAAGUUUUCGUGGGAAAUUGGCCCCGGUAUUGGGAAAGGCGGGAGCUGUACUAACGGGAUAAGCUCCAGCUGAACCAUGAUCUGGAUGCUAGCGAAUCAUAUAACUAGGGCUAUGUAUAGGGCUUUAAACUAAAUAAUGGGGGGGGGGGGGUUCAACAGAUUGGAGAAAUAAGAAUAAAGUAAAAAUUGGAAGUGUGGAUAAAGAUAAAGCAAAAGAUAAGCAAGAGAAAAGUAAGAGUGGAGGGGCAAAAGUGUAAAAGAUUAUAAGAUUUUAAAAGCAGAGUGAGUGUAAGGGCAGUUUAUUUGAAUGCCCACAGUAUUCGAAACAAGGUCAGUGAACUUGUGGCACAAAUCAGUACAAAGGGGUAUGAUUUAGUGGCCAUUACAGAGACGUGGUUGCAGGGUCGAGAGGAUUGGGAAUUAAAUAUCCAAGGAUAUCAGGUAAUUUGGAAGGAUAGGCAUGUUAGGAAGGGAGUUAGGGUAGCGCUCUUAAUUAAGGAUGAGGUCAGGUUGAUAGUGAGAGAUGAUUUAAAAUCUAAGGAGCAGAAAGUUGAAUCCAUAUGGGUAGGGAGUAGGAAUAGUAAAGUGAAAAAACACUGGUGGGAGUUGCCUAUCGACUAUCUAAUAACAUUAUAGUGGCACACGCAAAAGACAGAAAUAUCUGAGACAUGUAAGAAUGGAACAGCAGUCAUCACGAGGGAAUUUAACUUGCACAUAGAUUAAGUGAAUCAAGUUGGUCGAGGCAGUCUUGAGGAAGACUACAUAGAAUGCAUCCAUGAUGGCUUUCCUGAACACGUUUCUGAACCUACAAGGAAAUGUGCUUUUGGAUCUGGUCCUGUGCAAUGAAACAGGUAAAAUUAGUUAUCUUGUGGUUAGGGAUCCUCUUGGAAAGAGUAAUCACAGUAUGACUUAGUUUCUCAUACAAAUGGAGGGUGCAAUAGUUUGAUCCAAAACAAGUGUAUAAUGCCUAAAUAAGGAGACUACAAUGGGAUGAGGGAGGAUUUGGCUAGUGUAGACUGGGAAAACAGGUUAUAUGGUGGGAUGGUUGAGGAAUAGUGGUAGACUUUCAAAGAGAUUUUUCACAGUGUUCAACAAAAUAUAUAUUCUAAUUAAAAGCAAGGACAAUAACGGAGGGGAGAGGCAGCCUUGGAUAAUGAAGGAAAUAAAAGAAGGCAUUGUGGUAAACUAUGUGUAUACCUGUCUGGGCACGCCCCACUGCUGACUGCUCCUGUGGCUCCUCCCACAAACCCCUGUUCAAAGGCGAUUGGAGGCACUGCUCCUCCCUCAGUCUUCAAGAUGUUGUGGUCACUUUUUCUGCUAAUUAAAACCUAUUGUUUGCCUCCCGUCUCUGAGCAUUAUUAUUGAUGGUGCAUCAGGCAUCAAACUUUAAAACUUGUGCAUAUAAAGUCGCCAAGAGUAGUGAGAAACUGGAAGAUAGGGAAAGCUUUAAAAAGCAACAAAGAACCACUAAGCGAGCAAUAAAGAAAGGGAAGCUAGAUUAUGAAAAUAAACUAGUACAAAAUAUAAAAACAGACAGUACAAGUUUUUAUAACUAUAUAAAGUGGAAAAGGGUGGCCAAAGUGAACUUAUGUCCCUUGGAGGAUGAGAAGGGUGGAUUGAUUUGGGUAAUAAGGAAAUGGCAGAGGCUUUGCAUGACUAUUUUGUGUCUGUCUUCAUGGUGGAGGACGCAUCUAACAUCAAAGAGAGAUGUUAUGGAUACGAUGGGAGGAAAGGCCCUUGAUACAAUAGCUAUCACUAAAGAGGUAGUGCUGAGCAGACUUGUGGGCCUGAAGAUAGAUAAGUCCCCUGGUCCUGAUAGAAUGUAUCCCAGGGUACUGAAAGAAAUGGCAGAAGUUACAAUAGAGGCUUUGGUGAUAAUUUACCAAAAUUCUCUUGCCUCUGGGCAAGUACUAGCAGACUGGAAGACUUUGAAUGUCAUGCCACUGUUCAAAAAAGGUGUAGGUGAAAGGCAGAUACCUAUAGGUCAGUUAGUUUGACAACAGUAGUUGGGAAAAUGUUUGAAGCUAUCAUUAAAGAAAUAGUGAGGCAUCUGGAAAGAAAUAGAUACAUCAUGGAUUCAGCAAAGGCAGGUCCUGUUUGACAAAGUUACUGGAGUUCUUUGAAAAUCUAAUGAGAACAGAUCGAAGUUAUUUACUUGGGGUUUCCAGAAGGCAUUCAAUAAGGUGCCGCAUGAAAGACUUAUCUGUAAGAUAAGGAUGCAUAGAGUUGGGGGAGAUGUAUUAGCAUGGAUAGAGGAUUGGUUAACUAAUAGAAAGCAGAGAGUUGGGAUCCAUGAGUGUUACUCUGGCUGGCAAUCAGUGGUGAGUAGUGUGCCACAGGCGUUGGUGCUGGGUCUUCACUGUUCACAACAUACAUUAACAAUCUGGAAGAGGGGACCGACUGUAGUGUAUCUAAGUUUGCUGAUGAUACUAAAUUGCGUGGAAAAGCAAUUUGUGCAGAAGAUACAGAGAGUCUGCAGAGAGAUAUCAAUAGGUUAACUGAGUGGUCAACGGUCUGGUGGAGUACAAUGAUUGUAAAUGCAAGGUCAUCCACCUUGGAAGGAGAAAGAGCAGAUUAUUAUUUAAAUGGUAAAAAAAAUUGUAGCAUGCUUCUGUGCAGAAGGACUUGGGAGUGCACAAGGUUGGUUCGCAGGUGCAGCAGACUAUCAAGAAGGGAAAUCAGAUGUUCACCUUCAUUGCUAGAGGGAUUGAAUUUAAGAGCAAGGAGGCUAUGCUGCAACUGUACAGGCUACUGGUGAGGCCACUCCUGGAGUACUACAUGCAAUUCUGGUCUCCUUAUUUGAGGAAGGAUAUACUGGCUUUGGAGGCGGUGCAGAGGAGAUUCAUCUGGUUGAAUCCAGAGACGAGGGGGUUAGAAUUGAGAGGAGAUCUUAUGGAAACAUGUAAAAUUAUGAAAGGGAUAGAUAAGAUAGAGGCGGCAAAUGUGGUAGGUGAGAUUAGAACUAGGGGGCAUAGCCUCAAGAUUCAGGGGAGUAGAUUUAGGACAGAGAUGAGGAGGAAUUGCUUUUCCCAAACAGUGGUGAAUUGUAGAAUCUUCUGCCCAAUGAAGCAGUGGAAGCUACCUCAUUAAAUAUAUUUAAGACAAGGUUAGAUAGAUUUUUGCAUAGUAGGAGAAUUAAACUUUAUGGGGAAAAAGGCAGGUAGGUGGAGAUGAGCCCAUGGCCAGAUCAGCCAUGAUCUUAUUGAAAAGUGGAGCAGGCUUGAUGGCCAGAUGGCCUACUCCUGCUCCUAUUUCUUAUGUUCUUAUGUUUCUUGGCACCAUACCACUGGCCUUGUUUCCUUCUUCCUGUACUCCUGUUUCUUUGUUAUUUGAGAUCUGGCCUACAAUGAGGAUGUCAUCUGCAAGGAGUUACAGCAGAAUCUGGCCACACAGCUAUGAGUGUAUAGUGAUUAAAACAAGGAUCUGAGCCUACUUGAGGCAGCAAUGCCAAGGAUUAUCAUGGCAGAGGUAUUACUGUCUAUUCUUGCAGUCGAUGGUAAUCUUUGUUUAGCUAUAUUUCUUCAGUAUUUCAAUGUCUAAUGCCUAUUUAGACAUUCUAAAGAUGUCUGAAUAAGCAUAGUGUUUGAGAGUGAAUCGAUGAUCUGUUGCUGCAUCUCACUUGGUUUGUCGUCUGUUUCAAGAGUCAGCUUGUCAGCUGCAGGUUUAUUGAUGAUUAAAUAUCUGAAUGUGGAAAUUGGGUAAUUUUAUUGUGGGUGACAGAUUAAGAAUUUCACAAGUUCAGGUGUAUCUGGUCACAGAAAUAGUUUUAAACAACAGCAAGCAGAGUACCUGGACCAAUCAUUCUCUGCAUGCUAAGGGAUGCACUGAAGCUUAGUACUAAUACCUGUGGAUACACAAUAUGACAUGAUUAUAUUUUAUAUAAUUAUGUUGGGUAUAGAUAGAGUGAAUGCAAGCAGGCUUUUUCCACUGAGACUAGGGGAGAAAAAACCAGAGGCAUUAGGUUAAGGGUGAAAGGGGAAAAGUUUAAAGGGAAUAUUAGGGAGGGCUUCUUCAUGCAGAGAGUGGUGGGAGUGUGGAAUGAGCUGCCAGAUGAAGUGGUGAAUGCAGGCUCAGUUUUGACAUUUAAGAAAAACUUGGACAGGUAUAUGGAUGAGAGGGGUUUGGAGGGAUAUGGCCCAGGUGCAGGUCAGUGGGACUAGGCAGAAAAAUGGCUCAGCACAGCCAAGGAGGGCCAAAAGGCCUGUUUCUGUGCUGUAAUGUUCUAUGGUUCUAUGACCACAGUUCCAGUAUACACACCUGAUUAACUGCUCUCUGAAAUGGUUGAACAAUCCACUUGAUUACAUUAAAACAGUCGAGUUCCUUUGUUGUGUGGACUGCAAUUAUUCAAGAAAAUGACUAGCACGAGAGGGCAGUUUUAAAGUGCUUGGAAGUAGGUACAGAGAAGAUGUCAGGAGUAAGUUUUUUUUAAGAGAGUAGUAUGCGUGGAAUGGGCUGCCAGCAACAGUGGUGGAGGUGGAUACAAUAGGAUCUUUUAAGAGACUCCUGGAUAGGUAGAUGGAGCUUAGAAAAAUAGAGGGCUAUGGGUAACCCUAGGUAAUUUCUAAGGUAAGGACAUGUUCGGCACAGCUUUGUGGGCCGAAGGGCCUGUAUUGUGCUGUAGGUUUUCUGUUUCUAUGUAAAAUUCUUUCUGUUUGACUAAGCAUAACAUCACAGUCACAUUUUAAGAAUUAACAUCCCAAGUGCAUGCCAGUGAAUUCUGUAAAUUUUAUGGCUGUUUAAUAUUGUUAACAGACUUUUAUUUCUAGAUUUACAAAUAGGAUUAAUUAAUUUUAAAGUGGGAUUUGAAUGUAUAUUUUCAAAUCCUGAAGUCUUUUACAAACAGUGAAAGUGUAAUUAAAGGAACAGAGGGUGCAGACAGAAAUUUCAUCUUGAUAAAUUAUUAUUCUGACAUAAUCACUAUAUAUCCAGUUAGUGAACUAUCAAAUUUGGGCGUAUUUCAAACCAGAAAGAUGAUCUUCCUCCAAUAAAGUUGAGGCCAAUUGUGAUUUUUUUUUUGCACUGAACAUCUCUCUUUGGGACAUCAAAUCUUAAGCACAAGAGCUUCAACAGAUGCUGGAAAUCCAGAGUAGCACACAGAAAACGCUGGAGGAACUCAAGGAAUAAAGAAUCAACGUUUUGGGCCAAGACCCUUUAUCAGGACUGGAAAGGAAGUGCGAAGAAAUGCCACUGUUUUUUUGCACUGGACCUCUCUUUCAGGGCUAAGUUUUGAUUCAACAUGUUGAUCUCUGCAAAAGCAAAUAGCACCAUUAUAUUACCUUUGACAUAGUAAAACAUCUCAAGGAGCCAAAAUAAAACAGACAGCUAAAGAUAGAUAAUAAAAACCUCCUUAAAAGCAGGAGCAAGGUGCAGUGGACAUACCCAAGUUUAGCUCCUGAAAGGAUGGAGGUGCAUCCACCACUUCUGUGAAGUAUGGUAAAUGGACAAGAGGUCAGAAAAGUGAAAAGGAAGAGAUACUAAAUAGAAGGAAUGGCAUGACAGAAUUUGAAAAUACUUUUUUUUGGUAUCACUUUGUUGCUGAAUCAGAAGCUUUAUGAACAGGGAUUAUGAGUGUUCGUUUGUAAGUUAUUAUGUUUUGAUUGGGAUUAUGUUUUGAUAGUGGGGAGGAUGUGAUCUCAAAGCAUAAACACUACCAAGACUGGUUGGACUGAAUAGAUACGUAUAUUCCUUGUACUGUAUAAGCUUAGGUCAGUUAAGUAAAUGAGACUGAACUAUUAGAGCAGCUGGUUAGUGAGUGGUAUUUACAUUUUUCACUGGAAAACACUAUUUAUGGCAGAGCCCUAAAACAAUGCUGCUGAUAGUUCCUAGUGUUUAUUUAACUAAUGUAGAUUUUAGAAAUGAAGUCUGACAACUGAGCGACAAGGUUAAGAGUGAAGGUGGUCAUUUCUAGUAUACAUAUAGGUCCUGAUGUGUUUGUGCAUUGUAUUGCUAUUGGUCAGCCCCAAGGGUAAGAUAUUGUCCAAGUUGUCAAACCAGGGCAAAUAAGGGAAACAGUGGAAUUUUAAACUUAAUAAAUUUGUCAUAUUUCUAUUCUUCAAUGACUACUGCAUGUCACAAUAAAACUUUAUAUGUUGUAGAUAUUUGUAAUUAUUAUUGGCAUGAAACUUCUCAGAGGAAAUAGGAACACCAAAAUUUCAUCUAGGUAACCCUCCAUUAUAAAGGGAUAGAACUAGCUUCUGCCUUAUUACCUGUUUCCUACCCACUAUCCAAAUCCUCCAAGUGAAACAUUCACAACUCCCAUAUUUACUAUUCAUGUCUCCACCAUACUGGAGAAACCAAAUUCACAUUAGAUUAGUUCACAUUAUUUAAAAAUUAUUUAAAGAAUUAUUUAAAAACAAAUUCACACUACAUUACCA